CAGAGCCCGCCAGCUGCUAAGCCAGGGCCACACCUGGGGGUGAUUUCAUGCCUCACCUCCAGUAGGCUCAAGGCCUCUCUGGGCUAAUCUCCAGCUUCUCUGCACUAACUCUAGCUUUUACCCAGCUAAUCCCUGCCUCUCCACGGCUGCCCAGGGGCUGACCACUAACAGCCAGCCCUGCCCAUUGUGGGGGGGGGCGGGAGGGGAGGGGAGGGUCCAGGUUCCUGGCCUGGCUUUGGCCGGCUCCCUUGAACUACCCCUUCCUCUGGACUAACCCGUGCCUUUCUGGUCUGUUCCUUCCGGCAGAAAUGAAUGGCUGUGGCUUUCUCUCUAACAGGUCUCAUCUUCCUCUCACUGUCACCACUAAUGGCUGGGAUGGCGGCAUGGCCGGG
rnacentral:lncRNA from 1 species